GGGUUGUGAGGUUAAGCGACUAAGCGUACACGGUGGAUGCCCUGGCAGUCAGAGGCGAUGAAGGACGUGCUAAUCUGCGAUAAGCGUCGGUAAGGUGAUAUGAACCGUUAUAACCGGCGAUUUCCGAAUGGGGAAACCCAGUGUGAUUCGUCACACUAUCAUUAACUGAAUCCAUAGGUUAAUGAGGCGAACCGGGGGAACUGAAACAUCUAAGUACCCCGAGGAAAAGAAAUCAACCGAGAUUCCCCCAGUAGCGGCGAGCGAACGGGGAGCAGCCCAGAGCCUGAAUCAGUGUGUGUGUUAGUGGAAGCGUCUGGAAAGGCGCGCGAUACAGGGUGACAGCCCCGUACACAAAAAUGCACAUGCUGUGAGCUCGAUGAGUAGGGCGGGACACGUGGUAUCCUGUCUGAAUAUGGGGGGACCAUCCUCCAAGGCUAAAUACUCCUGACUGACCGAUAGUGAACCAGUACCGUGAGGGAAAGGCGAAAAGAACCCCGGCGAGGGGAGUGAAAAAGAACCUGAAACCGUGUACGUACAAGCAGUGGGAGCACAGAGCAAUCUGUGUGACUGCGUACCUUUUGUAUAAUGGGUCAGCGACUUAUAUUCUGUAGCAAGGUUAACCGAAUAGGGGAGCCGAAGGGAAACCGAGUCUUAACUGGGCGUUAAGUUGCAGGGUAUAGACCCGAAACCCGGUGAUCUAGCCAUGGGCAGGUUGAAGGUUGGGUAACACUAACUGGAGGACCGAACCGACUAAUGUUGAAAAAUUAGCGGAUGACUUGUGGCUGGGGGUGAAAGGCCAAUCAAACCGGGAGAUAGCUGGUUCUCCCCGAAAGCUAUUUAGGUAGCGCCUCGUGAAUUCAUCUCCGGGGGUAGAGCACUGUUUCGGCAAGGGGGUCAUCCCGACUUACCAACCCGAUGCAAACUGCGAAUACCGGAGAAUGUUAUCACGGGAGACACACGGCGGGUGCUAACGUCCGUCGUGAAGAGGGAAACAACCCAGACCGCCAGCUAAGGUCCCAAAGUCAUGGUUAAGUGGGAAACGAUGUGGGAAGGCCCAGACAGCCAGGAUGUUGGCUUAGAAGCAGCCAUCAUUUAAAGAAAGCGUAAUAGCUCACUGGUCGAGUCGGCCUGCGCGGAAGAUGUAACGGGGCUAAACCAUGCACCGAAGCUGCGGCAGCGACGCUUAUGCGUUGUUGGGUAGGGGAGCGUUCUGUAAGCCUGUGAAGGUGUGCUGUGAGGCAUGCUGGAGGUAUCAGAAGUGCGAAUGCUGACAUAAGUAACGAUAAAGCGGGUGAAAAGCCCGCUCGCCGGAAGACCAAGGGUUCCUGUCCAACGUUAAUCGGGGCAGGGUGAGUCGACCCCUAAGGCGAGGCCGAAAGGCGUAGUCGAUGGGAAACAGGUUAAUAUUCCUGUACUUGGUGUUACUGCGAAGGGGGGACGGAGAAGGCUAUGUUGGCCGGGCGACGGUUGUCCCGGUUUAAGCGUGUAGGCUGGUUUUCCAGGCAAAUCCGGAAAAUCAAGGCUGAGGCGUGAUGACGAGGCACUACGGUGCUGAAGCAACAAAUGCCCUGCUUCCAGGAAAAGCCUCUAAGCAUCAGGUAACAUCAAAUCGUACCCCAAACCGACACAGGUGGUCAGGUAGAGAAUACCAAGGCGCUUGAGAGAACUCGGGUGAAGGAACUAGGCAAAAUGGUGCCGUAACUUCGGGAGAAGGCACGCUGAUAUGUAGGUGAAGUCCCUCGCGGAUGGAGCUGAAAUCAGUCGAAGAUACCAGCUGGCUGCAACUGUUUAUUAAAAACACAGCACUGUGCAAACACGAAAGUGGACGUAUACGGUGUGACGCCUGCCCGGUGCCGGAAGGUUAAUUGAUGGGGUUAGCGCAAGCGAAGCUCUUGAUCGAAGCCCCGGUAAACGGCGGCCGUAACUAUAACGGUCCUAAGGUAGCGAAAUUCCUUGUCGGGUAAGUUCCGACCUGCACGAAUGGCGUAAUGAUGGCCAGGCUGUCUCCACCCGAGACUCAGUGAAAUUGAACUCGCUGUGAAGAUGCAGUGUACCCGCGGCAAGACGGAAAGACCCCGUGAACCUUUACUAUAGCUUGACACUGAACAUUGAGCCUUGAUGUGUAGGAUAGGUGGGAGGCUUUGAAGUGUGGACGCCAGUCUGCAUGGAGCCGACCUUGAAAUACCACCCUUUAAUGUUUGAUGUUCUAACGUUGACCCGUGAUCCGGGUUGCGGACAGUGUCUGGUGGGUAGUUUGACUGGGGCGGUCUCCUCCUAAAGAGUAACGGAGGAGCACGAAGGUUGGCUAAUCCUGGUCGGACAUCAGGAGGUUAGUGCAAUGGCAUAAGCCAGCUUGACUGCGAGCGUGACGGCGCGAGCAGGUGCGAAAGCAGGUCAUAGUGAUCCGGUGGUUCUGAAUGGAAGGGCCAUCGCUCAACGGAUAAAAGGUACUCCGGGGAUAACAGGCUGAUACCGCCCAAGAGUUCAUAUCGACGGCGGUGUUUGGCACCUCGAUGUCGGCUCAUCACAUCCUGGGGCUGAAGUAGGUCCCAAGGGUAUGGCUGUUCGCCAUUUAAAGUGGUACGCGAGCUGGGUUUAGAACGUCGUGAGACAGUUCGGUCCCUAUCUGCCGUGGGCGCUGGAGAAUUGAGGGGGGCUGCUCCUAGUACGAGAGGACCGGAGUGGACGCAUCACUGGUGUUCGGGUUGUCAUGCCAAUGGCACUGCCCGGUAGCUAAAUGCGGAAGAGAUAAGUGCUGAAAGCAUCUAAGCACGAAACUUGCCCCGAGAUGAGUUCUCCCUGACUCCUUGAGAGUCCUGAAGGAACGUUGAAGACGACGACGUUGAUAGGCCGGGUGUGUAAGCGCAGCGAUGCGUUGAGCUAACCGGUACUAAUGAACCGUGAGGCUUAACCUUACAACGCCGAAGGUGUUU
rnacentral:rRNA from 1 species